rnacentral:rRNA from 1 species
CAUGGCGUCACAGAGGGUGAGAAUCCCGUAUGUGACUGUGGUUCGAGCCCAUGUGAAGCCUCUUCGACGAGUCGAGUUGUUUGGGAAUGCAGCUCAAAAUGGGUGGUAAAUUUCAUCUAAAGCUAAAUACUGGCUGGAGACCGAUAGCGCACAAGUAGAGUGAUCGAAAGAUGAAAAGCACUUUGGAAAGAGAGUCAAACAGUACGUGAAAUUGUUGAAAGGGAAGCGCUUGCAACCAGACCUGUCCGCAGGUGAUCAGCCGCUGUUCUCAGUGGUGCACUCGCUCUGCGAUCAGGCCAGCAUCGGUUCUGGCGGCCGGAUAAAGGCCUUGGGAAUGUAGCUCCCUUCGGGGAGUCUUAUAGCCCUCGGUGCAAUGCGGCCAGUCGGGACCGAGGACCGCGCUUCGGCUAGGAUGCUGGCGUAAUGGUUGUAAGCGACCCGUCUUGAAACACGGACCAAGGAGUCUAGCAUCUACGCGAGUGUUUGGGUGUCAAACCCAUGCGCGGAAUGAAAGUGAACGGAGGUGAGAACCCUUAAGGGCGCAUCAUCGACCGAUCCAGAUGUCUUCGGAUGGAUUUGAGUAUGAGCGUAGCUGUUGGGACCCGAAAGACAGUGAACUAUGCCUGAAUAGGGUGAAGCCAGAGGAAACUCUGGUGGAGGCUCGCAGCGGUUCUGACGUGCAAAUCGAUCGUCAAAUUUGGGUAUAGGGGCGAAAGACUAA